CCUACUGGGAGGCAUGCACGGGCUGUAGGCCAGCCCAAAAUGGCAGCCUUGGAAGAAGAAUUCACGUUGUCUACUGGAGUCUUAGGCGCCGGUCCUGAAGGAUUCCUAGGUGUAGAGCCCAGUGACAAGGCCGACCAGUUCCUAGUGACCGACAGAGGCAGGACCGUCGUCCUCUACAAGGUUUCUGACCAGAAACCCUUGGGCAGCUGGUCGGUGAAACAAGGCCAGACUAUAACAUGUCCUGCUGUGUGCAACUUUCAGACUGGAGAGUAUAUUAUGGUACAUGACCAUAAGGUUUUGAGAAUAUGGAAUAAUGAAGACGUAAACCUGGAUAAAGUAUUCAAAGCUACACUGUCAGCUGAGGUCCAUAGGAUCCACUCAGUACAAAGAACAGAACCCCUGGUGCUGUUCCGAAGAGGCGCUGCUCGUGGGUUAGAGGCCUUGCUUGCAGAGCCACAGCAGAACAUUGAAGCUGUCAUACCAGAUGAGGAAGUGAUCGAGUGGUCAGAGGUUUUCAUGUUAUUUAAGCAACCGGUUUUAAUUUUUAUUACUGAAAAUCAUGGGAGUUAUUUUGCUUACGUACAGUUGUGCAAAUCACACAGCUUAAGCAAAUACAUACUCUUACUUGGAAAAGAAGAAAAAUCUGCUAAACCAAAUUUUACUGCACGUGUGGAUGGGAAAUUCAUCUCCCUGGUGUCGCUAGGCUCUGAUGGGUGUAUAUAUGAAACCUUGGUACCGAUAUAUUCAAGUGACACGGAAAACAAUCAGAGGUUAGUUAGAGCAUUGAUGCUCAAGACGGUUGUGUCUGGCAGUGCUCGAAAUGGUUCUGCCCUCACCAUCCUGGAUCAAGACCACAUAGCAGUCCUGGGACCUCCACUUCCAGCUUCUAAGGAAUGCCUCUCCAUAUGGAACAUAAAAUUUCAGACAUUACAGACAUCAAAAGAGCUGCCACAAGGAACCAGUGGGCAACUCUGGUAUCAUGGGGAAAUACUAUUUAUGCGACAUGGGAAAAGUCUAACUGUGAUUCCAUACAAGUGCGAAGCAUCAUCUCUGGCGAGCGCUCUUGGGAAGCUCAAGCAUACUCAAGAGUCAGGCAGUCAUUCCGUGCCCCAUUUUGUAAACUGGGAGACGUGUUCAGAAUAUGAACCUGGGUCCUACAGUGCAAAGCAGACAAGAACUCUUAGAAAAAAAAUUGAAACAAAUUUACACCCAGAAGUUCCAGGAGUCAAAGAACUUUUAUCAAUAAUAAAGAAAGAUUCAGAAAAGCACAUUGAAGUAGAACUACGUAAGUUUUUGGCUAAGUCGACCCCUGACUUUCAUACUAUAAUUGGAGACAUAGUGUCUGGACUUCUGGGAAGAUGUAAAGUGGAACCAUCGUUUUACCCCCGCAACUGUCUGAUGCAGCUCAUCCAGACACACGCGCUUUCCUACAGCUUAUGCCCUGACUUGAUGGAGAUUGCCCUAGAGCACACAGAUGUGCAGAUGUUACAGCUGUGUCUGCAGCAGUUCCCUGACAUUCCUGAGUCCACCACCUGUGCUUGCUUAAAACUUUUCCUGAGCAUUGGUGAUGACUGUCUUCGGGACAGUAAUGUCAGCAUGGAGUCAGUUUUUGAUUAUGGUGAUACCACACAAGAUGAGAAAAAGGAAAUGGAAGAGCAAACUGAAAUUGUUCAGAAUGGCUUCGGUCCUGAAGAUGGUGGCUGCAGUAAAGAUAGUCAGCAGUUGAACAAAAAGCCUGGUGACGCAGCACAGGAGCCCAUCUCCUUCCCUGUGACCUUGUGUCCUGUGGCACCAAAGCGAGCAGCUCUGCUAAAUGCAGUCCUUCAUUCAGCAUACAGUGAGCCCUUCCUCCUGCCGCACUUGAAGGACAUCCCUGCGAAGCAUAUAACGCUGUUUCUGCAGUAUUUGUAUUUCCUCUAUUUGAAGUGCACUGGCAGUGCUACCAUGACUCUCCCUGGAGUAAGCCCUCCAACCGUGAGCCAGAUCAUGGAUUGGAUAUGCCUACUUCUAGAUGCUAAUUUUACUGUCGUCUUAAUGAUACCAGAAGCAAAAAGACUUUUGCUUAAUCUUUACAAUUUUGUGAAAUCGCAGAUCUCCAUCUACUCCGAGCUCAACAAGAUUGAAGUCAGCUUCCGGGAGCUGCAGAGGUUAAAUCAGGAGAAGAGCAGUAGAGGACUGUACUCCAUCGAAGUUCUGGAACUUUUCUGACAGCCAGAGACAGUCUUACUGGCUGUCCUGGAACUGGAUAUAUAGACCAAGCUGGCCUCAAACUCACAGAGAUCCAACCCAGAGCACUGCGAUUAAAGGUGUGGCCACCACACCUGGCUUAAUGGAUUUUUUUAUAUGAAUGUACCUGUUCAUCCAGGGGAGAAAGUUUUGUUUGUAUCCAUCUCAGUGUCCAGAGAGAAGUGUGAAUCCCUGGACCAUCACAUACCACCAUUCCUCAGAGUGCUACGGGUUCCACAGACAUCACUUCUAGGUUGCAGACAUCACUGGAAGAAUGUUACAAACUUUUUAAACAUGGAAUUGAGUUGAUUUUAAGUAAACUUAUUUGUGUACUGAUAAAAGUCUAGUUUCUUACCGUGCAUUUUGAAUAGUUUUUCUUUCAAUAAAAUAAGCAAGCCAUCUCUGAAGAGUGGAUCUAAAACGGAUGUGUGUCGGUCGGAAGCUAUUGCAGUCAUCUGUCUCGUGGAGAACUCAGGACCCCAAGCCAACGUAGUGCGUUCUGCCUCGCCAUUUCUUCAUCUUUCACCGUCUGCCAUCUCUCCUCCCUCAGGGGUUGAGAAAUUCCCCCUUCCAGCGUGAUGUCUCAGACAAACUGUGACAAGGAUAUGACAGGGCUUCAAGGACUUAACAUUAAAGCAGAGAGCUGGGGAUAUGGCUCCACGGUAGAGUGUUUACAUCGAAGGCAUGAAGCUCUGAGCUUGGUCCCCCAGCAUUGCUGGACAGCGAGCAUGGUGGUCACGCCUUAGCUGCACAGUGAGUUCGAUCCCCAUCUUAAAGAAAAAAGAAACUGGAGCUCUGAUGUGAGGUUGGAGCCACCUUGUUCUGCUGAGUGUUUAACUGAGACCUCCCAAGUCGGGGUGAAAGAGUGAGGAAUCCCUGCCUCUUCAGAAGAGACCACCUGCAAAGUCAGCAUCCCCACGUUUGUCUCUGAAGCCCCGUGUUCUUGGUGGCAUUGUACUUAGGCGAAGUUGAAGGAGAACUCUACCAUGUUUCCUGCCUGACUGAAUCAGCAAGCUCUCCAAAGGAUUGCCAGGGUUUCACUUGCUAAUUAACCGGUGCCUACAUGUAGCCUCAGCUGACCUCAAACUUGAAAUCCUCCUGCCUCCAUGUCUAAAGUGCUGGGAUUACAGAUGUCCACCACCAUGCCUGACUUGCUAGUCAGCCUUUAAGGAGAAGGCUUAGGGCUGGGAUGUGGCUCACUGGUAAAGCGUUUGGCUAACAUCCAUGAGACCCUAAGUGUACAUACAUCCCAGCACCACAAAAAUAAAUAGGAAAACGUGUUGCCCUGCUUUUGCUCAGCCUGUGCUGACAGUCACUGCAUCAAUCGGAUUUGCGUUUAGAGUGAUAGUCCUGAAAAUACUGUUAGAAAUACAGAGCUAGGCUCGAGUGGGUAAGAUGUACACUGCCAGGAGCAUUGGAAACAUUCAGAAGAAGAGAGCUGAGUAGCACGAUGCUGCUCUCUUGUAGCCCCAGCCCUGGGGAGGUGGAGGCAGGAGACUUAGGAGUCAAAGUUCAUCAUGGCUACAUUGAGACCUCUGGGAGAGGCAAAAGAAACCUAACAAGUUAAUAAAAUUGGAAUUUCAGUAA